UCAUACAUGUUACAUCUCUCAACUGCGUAGAUGAGUUCCAAUUCUCUGUGUGCCUGUGAGGCAGCUCAGAGUGGACAUCAACCAGCAAGGGCUUCCUAAGGCUGAAUUCCUAAGGCAGAAUUCCCAACUCCCAUCCAGUUUGUUUGGCUUCAGAAAAAGGCAUUAUCGUCAUAGAUGAGAGCCACAUGUGUUUUCCUGCUCCUAUCGACCUCCUUCCAGUGGAAAAGACAUUGAGGUGGAAGAUGGUGAUGUGGAUGGCCCUGACCCUGUGUGGGUCUAAGAGUGAAGUGUCUCUGCUUCCUGAUCAUCAUGUGAG